UGGGCAGCACUGGCAGCUCUGGGUGU
rnacentral:piRNA from 1 species